UACGGAGGGGGCAAGCGUUGUUCGGAAUUACUGGGCGUAAAGGGCGCGCAGGCGGCUGCUCAAGUCAGGCGUGAAAGGCCUGGGCUCAACCCGGGAAUUGCGCUUGAGACUGGGCUGGCUUGAGUGCGGGAGAGGAUGGUGGAAUUCCUGGUGUAGCGGUGAAAUGCGCAGAUAUCAGGAAGAACACCCGUGGCGAAAGCGGCUCUCUGGAACGGUACUGACGCUGAGACGCGAAAGCGUGGGGAGCGAACAGG
rnacentral:rRNA from 1 species